rnacentral:rRNA from 1 species
AGAGUUUGAUCCUGGCUCAGGAUGAACGCUGGCGGCGUGCCUAACACAUGCAAGUCGAGCGAGAUUUAGUGUAGUGGAGACUUCGGUCAAAGUGAAACUGAUGAAAGCGGCGGACGGGUGAGUAACGCGUGGGCAACCUGCCCCAUACAAAGGGAUAGCCACUGGAAACGGUGAUUAAUACCUUAUAAGUCGGUAGUCUCGCAUGAGACAGCCGACAAAGAUUUAUCGGUAUGGGAUGGGCCCGCGUUUGAUUAGCUAGUUGGUGAGGUAACGGCUCACCAAGGCGACGAUCAAUAGCCGACCUGAGAGGGUGAUCGGCCACACUGGAACUGAGACACGGUCCAGACUCCUACGGGAGGCAGCAGUGGGGAAUAUUGCACAAUGGGCGCAAGCCUGAUGCAGCAACGCCGCGUGAGUGAUGAAGGCCUUCGGGUCGUAAAACUCUGUCCUAUGGGAAGAAAAAAAUGACGGUACCAUAGGAGGAAGCCCCGGCUAACUACGUGCCAGCAGCCGCGGUAAUACGUAGGGUGCGAGCGUUGUUCGGAAUUACUGGGCGUAAAGGGCGCGUAGGCGGCUUUACAAGUCAGGUGUGAAAGUCCACGGCUCAACCGUGGGAUGUCAUCUGAAACUGUAUGGCUUGAGUAUGGGAGGGGAAAGUGGAAUUCCUGGUGUAGAGGUGAAAUUCGUAGAGAUCAGGAGGAACACCGGUGGCGAAGGCGACUUUCUGGACCAAUACUGACGCUGAGGCGCGAAAGCGUGGGGAGCAAACAGGAUUAGAUACCCUGGUAGUCC